GAUGAAGAACGUAGCGAAAUGCGAUAAGUAAUGUGAAUUGCAGAAUUCAGUGAAUCAUCGAAUCUUUGAACGCACAUUGCGCCCACUAGUAUUCUGGCGGGCAUGCCUGUUCGAGCGUCAUUUCAACCAUCAAGCCCCAGGCUUGUGUUGGGGACCUGCGGCUGCCGCAGGCCCUGAAAACCAGUGGCGGGCUCGCUGUCACACCGGGCGUAGUAGAUUUUAUCUCGCUCAGGGCGUGCUGCGGGUUCCGGCCGUUAAAAAGCCUUUUUUACCCAAGGUUGACCUCGGAUCAGGUAGGAAGACCCGCUGAACUUAAGCAUAUCAAUAAGCGGAGGA
rnacentral:misc_RNA from 1 species